rnacentral:rRNA from 1 species
GACGUAGGGUGCAAGCGUUGUCCGGAUUUAUUGGGCGUAAAGAGCUCGUAGGCGGUCUGUCACGUCGGCUGUGAAACCCGAGGCUCAACCUCGGGCCUGCAGUCGAUACGGGCAAACUAGAGUACUGCAGGGGAGACUGGAAUUCCUGGUGUAGCGGUGAAAUGCGCAGAUAUCAGGAGGAACACCGGUGGCGAAGGCGGGUCUCUGGGCCGAUGACUGACGCUGGAGGAGCGAAAGCCGUGGGGAGCGAACAGG